UACAGAGGGUGCAAGCGUUAUCCGGAUUUACUGGGUUUAAAGGGUGCGUAGGUGGGUUGGUAAGUCAGUGGUGAAAUCUUCGAGCUUAACUCGGAAACUGCCAUUGAUACUAUCAAUCUUGAAUUAUCUGGAGGUAAGCGGAAUAUGUCAUGUAGCGGUGAAAUGCUUAGAUAUGACAUAGAACACCCAUUGCGAAGGCAGCUUACUACGGAUACAUUGACACUGAGGCACGAAAGCGUGGGGAUCAAACAGG
rnacentral:rRNA from 1 species